UGGGGGAUAUUGCGCAAUGGGGGCAACCCUGACGCAGCAACGCCGCGUGAAGGAUGAAGGUUUUCGGAUUGUAAACUUCUUUUAUUAAGGACGAAACUUGACGGUACUUAAUGAAUAAGCUCCGGCUAACUACGUGCCAGCAGCCGCGGUAAUACGUAGGGAGCAAGCGUUGUCCGGAUUUACUGGGUGUAAAGGGAGCGUAGGCGGGUUGUUAAGUCAGUUGUGAAAGUUUGCGGCUCAACCGUAAAAUUGCAGUUGAUACUGGCGACCUUGAGUGCAACAGAGGUAGGCGGAAUUCGUGGUGUAGCGGUGAAAUGCUUAGAUAUCACGAAGAACUCCGAUUGCGAAGGCAGCUUACUGGAUUGUAACUGACGCUGAUGCUCGAAAGUGUGGGUAUCAAACAGGAUUAGAUACCCUGGUAGUCCACACAGUAAACGAUGAAUACUCGCUGUUGGCGAUAUACGGUCAGCGGCCAAGCGAAAGCAUUAAGUAUUCCACCUGGGGAGUACGCCGGCAACGGUGAAACUCAAAGGAAUUGACGGGGGCCCGCACAAGCGGAGGAACAUGUGGUUUAAUUCGAUGAUACGCGAGGAACCUUACCCGGGCUUAAAUUGCAACUGACUGAACCGGAAACGGUUCUUUCUUCGGACAGUUGUGAAGGUGCUGCAUGGUUGUCGUCAGCUCGUGCCGUGAGGUGUCGGCUUAAGUGCCAUAACGAGCGCAACCCUUAUCGAUAGUUACUAGCAGGUCAUGCUGAGGACUCUAUUGAGACUGCCGUCGUAAGAUGUGAGGAAGGUGGGGAUGACGUCAAAUCAGCACGGCCCUUACGUCCGGGGCUACACACGUGUUACAAUGGGGGGUACAGAAGGCAGCUACACGGCGACGUGGUGCUAAUCCCGAAAGCCUCUCUCAGUUCGGAUUGGAGUCUGCAACCCGACUCCAUGAAGCUGGAUUCGCUAGUAAUCGCGCAUCAGCCACGGCGCGGUGAAUACGUUCCC
rnacentral:rRNA from 1 species